UGGGGAAUAUUGCACAAUGGGCGCAAGCCUGAUGCAGCCAUGCCGCGUGUAUGAGGAAGGCCUUCGGGUUGUAAAGUACUUUUAGUCGGGAGGAAGGUGGUAAGGUUAAUAACCUUACCAAUUGACGUUACCGACAGAAGAAGCACCGGCUAACUCCGUGCCAGCAGCCGCGGUAAUACGGAGGGUGCAAGCGUUAAUCGGAAUUACUGGGCGUAAAGCGCACGCAGGCGGUUGAUUGAGUCAGAUGUGAAAUCCCCGGGCUUAACCCGGGAAUUGCAUCUGAUACUGGUCAGCUAGAGUCUUGUAGAGGGGGGUAGAAUUCCAUGUGUAGCGGUGAAAUGCGUAGAGAUGUGGAAGAAUACCGGUGGCGAAGGCGGCCCCCUGGACAAAGACUGACGCUCAGGUGCGAAAGCGAGGGGAGCAAACAGG
rnacentral:rRNA from 1 species